rnacentral:lncRNA from 1 species
UAUAUGAAAGAAGGCUCUUUUUUUUUUUCUUGCAUCACUGAACAAAUAAAAGGGUGUUAAAAUACAUUUUGGGGGCUGGGGUUGUGGCUUAGAGGUAGAGCGAUAGCACAGCAUGCAUGAGGCACUGGGUUCGAUCCUCAGCACCACAUAAAAAUAAAAUAAAGGUGUUGUGUCCACCUACAACUAAAAAAUAUUUUUCAAAACUACAUUUUGGUGUUCUCUCUCUCUCUCUCUCUCUCUCUCUCUCUGAAUUCCAUCUCUGUCCCCAAGUCUUCUUUCUCCAUCUGCAGCACUUUUCUUUGGAUUCUAAACAAAACUGGAUUUUUGUAGUCUAGCUGUUUCCUCUAAGCUUUCCAGAGUAUUUCUAAAAUGUUCUUCAAGGAGUUUGAUUCCAGUCCUGUAGAGAUAGCCCUAAGUCCAGCAUUGCUAUGACAAAGGCUAAGGGGCUUUCUUGUGCCCCAGACCUGCUGGCUGACAGUUGGAAUUUUUGAUAUAUAUUUUAUUUGACGGUUCCAAUAAUGUGUUUGUCUCCCCUCCCACCCUUACCCCUUGGAGCCAUCUAUUACUUUUAAAACACUUCUUCUGGGUAAACCUUGGUUCAUCCUUGUGAACUGUUUUUGACCUUCCCAGUAGAGUAACCAGCAGCUCUUGAAAGUUAAGAGGAGAAAGAAUUCCACUCCCUCCCUUACCUGUUAACUUUGCUAACUCUCUUCCUAGCUGGGAUCAGCAGAGGAAUGGGGAUUUUUUGUUUGUUUGUUUGUUUGCUAGGAUUUUGUUGUUUGUUGGCUUUUUCCUACUUAGGCUUUCUAUAGAUUUUUCUCCCCACGAUUAAUGACAAUAAAUAACCCUAGAAUUUUUUUUAAUGUGAUGGAAUGGGAUCAUUUAAUUUGCUUUCCUUUUGCCCUGUGUUAUUCCUUAUUUCUCCCAAUUUUAGCGGCUUCAUGAUCUCGCAAAGGGAAGGGUUUCAAUAAAUAGCCCUCUAGCGCUAUCUGGCGGGGCUCCAAACGCGACUUGCUCUCGCUCUCUGUCUUUUCCUCCUUCCCGCGCUCUCAUUCUUCCUCUCCCUCUCUCUUCUCUUCCGCUCUUUCGUAUCACCACCCACCUUCUCUCAUCCUUCAGUCUCUUUUCUAGUUCUUAACCUCUUUUCCAGUGCAGACAGCUUGGAACGACCUAGCCAGGAGCUGAUAACCCUCAUUACUAGGUGGUGAUCUGGCGACGGAACCCUUCCAUGUCUUCCGUUCCCUACCCAGCUUGGAUCACACACGUUCUUUGCUUUUCAAUAACACCUUACUGUUACUAAACUUACUCCUUAAAGUCCCAGAGUGUCGUUUGGCAGUUGUUUGGAGGGGCUUAAAACUACGUUUAUGAAGUUUGCAAGGAAGAAAUAGGAAACUGAAAUCCUGGGCUGGCGGAGCCUAGUUAAGUUUUAGGUCAGCAGGCCAAGUUUCACUGCGUGUCUGAGGAAGGGUCGGAGCUUCACAGGGGUGAGAACAGCGCACCGGCAGGCCUUCCACAGAGUCAGAGUGGGGGUGCAAGCGGCCUCCCACUGCCUCUGCGGAUCCAUACUUCACAAUGGACGCUUGAGUCUGUGUCCUGGACCUGUCGGAUAUUUCCCCCACUUCCUUUAACCAGCUUUAUCCCCUGCAACUCCUCACUCCCAGCAACAAAUUUGGGAAGUGGUGGCAAAGAAAUGUAGAGAGUGGGAAAACUCCCUGAAAAAACCCCCAGGGCAAAGGGAGGGCGAAGGGGGACCCAAGGAGACUUCCUGAAAACCUAGAGAGGGAUGCAGUAUUUGCCAGCAUCCUCCCUCCUUUUUCGGUUGCACUUUUUAUUCGUGGGGUUUUGUUUGUUUGUUGUUUUGUUUUUAAGUAACCUGUAAACACUCAGCAGUGUGGGUGAGGUGAGAGGAAAUAGGGACCAAAGGAGAGAUUCAGUUCGGGAUUAGGUGCUUUAGAAUGAGCACCAGGCUUUAUCUACACUCUUAAAAUUUCCUCCUCCCUCCUCCCCAUCCCGCCUUUACACACACACACACACACACACACACCCUGCACACUCAGCCUUAGAGAAGUCUCCAUUCCUCCCCUUUGAACAAACCUCUUCCGUCUAGUCCUUGAAAGACAGGGAAGGACAUGUGGCCUGAGGGAGAGUUAUGAUUGCAUUUUCUAAGAUUUAGCUUUGACUUUGAAAAUUAAGUGAGAGCCAUAUCCCCAAUACAGACCCUAUAGGUGGCUACUUCAGGUAUGAGGCCUGUGAUUUCUGUGAUUAGUCAAACACUCAUUCCCAAUUCUGAAAUUUGACCGACAGACACAAAAAUGGAAAGGAGGGAGGUGGGUGGCACCAUCUUAGGCUCGGUUUCCCAAGAAUUGCCCCCACUAGUGUAGGAAGAAAUCACAGUUGGGGUGCAAAUAAUUGAGAAAUGUUAUUAGGUCAUCAUUAGCCAAGGUGCGAACAAUUGCAGCCCAUUUUCACUUAAAAUUGAC